GGGAUGCCUGAACCACAGUCAGCGGGAACUGUACAGAGAUGUGAUGUUAGAGACCUACGGACACCUCGUUUUCUUGGUAAAGAAAGAAGAAGGGGUUGGCAGAUGUAGAGGAAAGUCUUCAUGAUGUUUUCCAUCAGGUCUUGUUGUGUCAAAGCCAGACCUGGUCAU